rnacentral:misc_RNA from 1 species
AACUUUCGGUAACGGAUCACUUGGUUCUCGCAUCGAUGAAGAACGCAGCGAAAUGCGAUAAGUAAUGUGAAUUGCAGAAUUCAGUGAAUCAUCGAAUCUUUGAACGCACCUUGCGCUCUUUGGUAUUCCGAAGAGCAUGCCUGUUUGAGUGUCAUUAAAUUAUCAACCUUUCCUACUUUUACCAGUUAGGUCAGGCUUGGAUGUGGGGGUUGCAGGCUUUUCAAGUCAGCUCUCUUUAAAUGUAUUAGUAGAACCUUUGUGGAACGGCUUUUGGUGUGAUAACUAUCUACGCCAUAAGUUGUAAAGCAUUGAUAUAUAUAUAUAUAUAGGGGUUCAGCUUCUAACCGUCUAUUACUUGGACAAUUCUUGACACUUUGACCUCAAAUCAGGUAGGAUUACCCGCUGAACUUAAGCAUAUCAAUAAGCGGAGGCU